rnacentral:hammerhead_ribozyme from 1 species
AUCCAGCUGAUGGGUUCCAAAUAGGACAAAACGCGCGUUUUUGGAU